rnacentral:rRNA from 1 species
GAUUAACGCUGGCGGCGUGCAUAACACAUGCAAGUCGAACGAAGUGGCGGACGGGUGAGUAACGCGUGCGUAACCUGCCUUAAAGAAGGGGAUAGCAUUUGGAAACGAAGAAUAAUACCAUAUGCUUUAAGAUGGACUUGCGUCUGAUUAUUUAGUUGGGGGGGUAAAGGCCCACCAAGACAGCGAUCAGUAGCCGGCUUGAGAGAGUUUACGGCCACAUUGGGACUGAGAAACGGCCCAGACUGUACGUGAGGCAGCAGUGGGGAAUUUUGCACAAUGGGGGAAACCCUGAUGCAGCGACGCCGCGUGAUUUAGAAGGCCUUCGGGUUGUAAAAAUCUUUUCUAUGGGAAGCAGUACCAUAGGAAUAAGGACCGGCUAAUUACGUGCCAGCAGCCGCGGUAAUAC